UCCCUGGUGGUCUAGUGGUUAGGAUUCUGAGCUUUCACUGCCAAGGAUGCAGGAUCAAUCCCUGCUUGGGGAA
rnacentral:tRNA from 1 species